AUGAACGCUGGCGGCGUGCCUCAUCCAUGCCAGUCGAGCGAACAGACGAGGAGCUUGCUCCUCUGACGUUAGCGGCGGACGGGUGAGUAACACGUGGAUAACCUACCUAUAAGACUGGGAUAACUUCGGGAAACCGGAGCUAAUACCGGAUAAUAUAUUGAACCGCAUGGUUCAAUAGUGAAAGACGGUUUUGCUGUCACUUAUAGAUGGAUCCGCGCCGCAUUAGCUAGUUGGUAAGGUAACGGCUUACCAAGGCAACGAUGCGUAGCCGACCUGAGAGGGUGAUCGGCCACACUGGAACUGAGACACGGUCCAGACUCCUACGGGAGGCAGCAGUAGGGAAUCUUCCGCAAUGGGCGAAAGCUUGACGGAGCAACGCCGCGUGAGUGAUGAAGGUCUUCGGAUCGUAAAACUCUGUUAUUAGGGAAGAACAAAUGUGUAAGUAACUAUGCACGUCUUGACGGUACCUAAUCUGAAAGCCACGGCUAACUACGUG
rnacentral:rRNA from 1 species